GUCGAACGGAGUUAUCAUUUUUGAAGCGAUUAGCUUGCUAAGAGUGGAACAGUUGAUAACUUAGUGGCGGACGGGUGAGUAACGCGUGGGUAACCUGCCUUACACAGGGGGAUAACACUUAGAAAUAGGUGCUAAUACCGCAUAAGCGCACAGUCCCGCAUGGGACAGAGUGAAAAACAUUAGUGGUGUAAGAUGGACCCGCGUCUGAUUAGCUUGUUGGCGGGGUAACGGCCCACCAAGGCGACGAUCAGUAGCCGGCCUGAGAGGGUGGACGGCCACAUUGGGACUGAGACACGGCCCAAACUCCUACGGGAGGCAGCAGUGGGGGAUAUUGGACAAUGGGGGAAACCCUGAUCCAGCGACGCCGCGUGAGUGAAGAAGUAUUUCGGUAUGUAAAGCUCUAUCAGCAGGGACGAAAGAAAUGACGGUACCUGAGUAAGAAGCCCCGGCUAACUACGUGCCAGCAGCCGCGGUAAUACGUAGGGGGCAAGCGUUAUCCGGAAUUACUGGGUGUAAAGGGAGCGUAGACGGUAAUGCAAGUCUGGAGUGAAAGGCGGGGGCCCAACCCCCGGACUGCUCUGGAAACUGUGUAACUGGAGUGCAGGAGAGGCAGGCGGAAUUCCUAGUGUAGCGGUGAAAUGCGUAGAUAUUAGGAGGAACACCAGUGGCGAAGGCGGCCUGCUGGACUGUAACUGACGUUGAGGCUCGAAAGCGUGGGGAGCAAACAGGAUUAGAUACCCUGGUAGUCCACGCCGUAAACGAUGAUUACUAGGUGUGGGUGGGUAUGGACCCAUCGGUGCCGCA
rnacentral:rRNA from 1 species